rnacentral:misc_RNA from 1 species
UCUCCGUUGGUGAACCAGCGGAGGGAUCAUUACCGAGUUUACAACUCCCAAACCCAAUGUGAACGUUACCAAACUGUUGCCUCGGCGGGGUCACGCCCCGGGUGCGUCGCAGCCCCGGAACCAGGCGCCCGCCGGAGGAACCAACCAAACUCUUUCUGUAGUCCCCUCGCGGACGUUAUUUCUUACAGCUCUUAGCAAAAAUUCAAAAUGAAUCAAAACUUUCAACAACGGAUCUCUUGGUUCUG